CCAAUUUUUCAGUAAUCAGCAGCUCUUCUCAUCCGUCAAAACUUAGAUUAAACCUGCUUUCUGGUGCAUUCUUCCAGGAAUCCCCAAGCUGAUAAACUUGCACUUGUAGCCAGAUGCUGCGAUGGUUGAGGCACUGCAUCUUCUCUCUGGGACACUUAGUCAUGGAAAUCUUGGUCUCUGUUCCUAGAUUGCUUGGGGAUAAAAGUUGGGCAUGUUCUCUUCCACAAAGCUGAUAAAACAUCGUGUGUGCAGAAGAUGAUCAAUACAUUUUUAUUAGAAACAGUAGACUUAAAGUCAAUGUCUAAGUAGUUGGCUGCAAUUCAAUGCUUUUCUUGUUUGACUUUCCAGACCUGACAAAUAUGGUUGACUGCACAAUGGUGACAUAUAAUUCAAAUCAAAGGGAGCGUGGGGAAGACCAGCCUGCUCAAACUUUCUUCUCCCACAUUUGGUGAAAAUCAAGGCACCCGCUCUGGACUGCUUGUUUCCUCUUGGUUAACCACCAGGCUAGGGAGGCGGAAUUUCUCUGCCAGGCUCAGGUGUGGUUCUCUGGACAACAGGGAUCUAUGUGACUGGUGCAGGAGGCAAGGCAGGGUGGCUUUCUUUAGAGAUUCUGUAUUCUGCACUGUUGAGGAGUCCAACGUCUCAGAGAACAAACGAUCAUGACAUGCACAAGGGAGUUUAAGGCCACUGGGACGUGCAGUUCCCCGUCACCUGCUGCAGCCCACCGUGCUUGCACACUGAGGUGCCUCACCGUCUAAGACCCAAGCACAGCACAGUGUCCUUCCUCUUCUCCACAGUGUCCUGGAAUCUGCUUCUUACUGUGUGUACAGAACCUGCUGCGACCACACUGCCUGCUCUGUGAAGGCAGGGAAAGCAAGUGCCUGGCUCAGUGCAGGGUACCCCUCCCCAGCCCCUGUACCUGUUGGACGAAGACUCUUUCAAAAAAAUGACGUUAUGAUAUGUCCAAAGCAGUGUGCCAGAAAAGUGUGUUUGUGUGUGUGAGGACGUUGGGAAACAUCUGGGGGUGCUUUGCUUUUCAUAAUGGCUGAGGACUACAGACAAGAAUGGGCAGCCCUCAGGGAACCUGAGCAUCAGCAACAUGGGGAUGCACCUACAGAGUGAAGAGUGUCCUGCCAACACCCAUGAAGCUCUUAAUGAAAACCAGUAGUUUUUCCAUUUAAGAAAAAGCAAACAAAAACAAAAACCAAACUGUUCUCUAUGUUCUCACUAUGCCAAAGUUCUCACAUUAGGAAAAGUCCCCAGACUCAUGGGUGGGUCUUGCAGUUUUAGCCCCCAAUCCCACCGCCCCCACUUUCACCUCCCUGCUCGUGGGGCUGGACCCACCACAUGCUCACUGCCGUGAGAGAUCCG
rnacentral:lncRNA from 1 species